rnacentral:lncRNA from 1 species
UCGGGUCGCCGGAGGUCCAGUACCCCAGGCUGCUGCACUCGCUAGGUAUGUCCGGGAGACAAAACUGCAGUCGCUGAAAUUUUGGGCAAUCAACGGUGGAAUUGGGUGGUUUAGAUUAAUAUAUAUGUGGCUUGGCAGCGAUAUCGUUAGGUUGGAUUUCUCUCCAGUCGGGUCGGGUCAUCUAUCUUCAUCCAUCACACGUUGUUGUGGCAGAUUACAACGGUUACUGGACUAAUGCAUCUGUUGUGGAGCUUGUAUGCUGAAGUCUAGUACUGAAUCCUUUUUAUGGCCGUCACAUUAGGAGCAAAGGGAAGGGUUUGGGUUCGAUUUGGGGUGCGAAAUUGAUCAUGAGCACUUACCUGUGUCUUGAAUGGUUAGUUUUGAUACAAUCUGAUCGGUGAACUUCAGGCCAUUUUAGCAGGUUAGUUACAAUUGUGAGACCACUGGCUAUGGAUCUGUGUGCGCUAGGACACCUCCAAAAUUGUACUAGUAACAAUGAACUCCCUCCGUUCACAGAUAGAAGAUGUUCUAACUUCUUUCUUAAUCAGAUGUAUAUUGACAUGUUUUAGUGUCUUUGUUCACUCAUUUCAGUCCGUAUGUAGUCCAUAUUGAAAUACCCAAAACAUUUUAUAUAUUUGUGAACAUAUGGCGUACGUCCGUAUGCACUACUAUGCUGUUGUGUAUUCUGACCAAAUGAACACCAAUCAUCUGACAUCAAAAUGUAUGUGCAUCCAUAACCAUAAGCACUACACAAAUGUUAAUAAUGCAUCCCAUCACACUCAUGGUCUCUUCCCUAUGGCUAUGGCAGCCACCACCUUCUAAUGGCCAACUCAGCACAUGAGUGUACCAUGUCUUCGAUGUGUGUGUGAGGGGGUGGGUGGGUAGGGGGGGGGGUAAUGUGUUAGGAUUUUAGCAGUGCUUGUCCGAUGGGAAAAUGGAAGCUGAUGCAUCAGGGAAAUGGACAAUGCCUACGGUGAAACCAUAAAAGUGUGCUGGGGUUACUUGUGUAAUGACAUUGGGCUAGAUGGUGUCAACAUACUUCAUACUCCAUCCACAUGAUAAUAAACUAUGCUGGCAGGGUCCAGAUAUGCACUUUAGAUAUAAGUAUAUUUGAUCCAGAGUUUACAAUCUACUGGUCACAUUAGUAUCAUCUAGUUCCUUCGUGUUGCCUUGUUGCACUAAUGUUGUUUCAUUUCUAGGCAUAGAUUUCAAAUUACAAUAUAAGCAUAUGCAUCUAUUUAUUUAUAUUGGCCUGUCAAAACCGAGCUUCAGUUGCUUCUUUUUCUCCUCUAAUCUCAGUAGGUUCUUCUUACCUAUUUUUGUUUCAUAAUUAUAUAUGAAAAAUAUGCUGCAGAAAAUGCUCAUUAAUCUUGAUGCUUAUACCUAUCUACCUCACUUGUAGCAAAUCUUGUUGAGAAGUUGAUGUCACAUUUUUUCUGAAGUUUUAGUGGCAGGUGGAUAUCCACAAUUAUCCCUGUUAGGUUCUCUCACUGUGAUGCCUUCUUGUUCUUACAAAUUUUCGCUGCCUAAUUUUGGUCUUAGGAGUCACUGAAAGAUGAGAUGGAAUCCGUUUCACGAGCUCCAGCCUUGAUACAGUAAUCAAUGCUCAUUGAUGUUAUCUACUUUGUCUUGUUGUCUAUGUAUCUAAAAAUUAACAGGAUGUGGUUAUGAGGCGCAAAGUGUGAAGUAACUGUAUUCGAUGCAAUAGGGGCCUUUGAGUGAGAUUAAGAUGUGCAACUUGCAGUUGAAUCAGUAAAGAAAAAUGUUACAAUUUUGUAAUUUCUCCUUAUUUUGGUCCGUUGUACAUGCCUAAAAGCUUAAAAUACCGGGAUAACAAGCUCAGUUCUAUGGAUCUUGUACCAUGUUAACUAAGUUAUUUUUCUCGCAAAGAAGAAACUAAUUGAUUCCAAAAAUGAAAUGUUGUUGAAAUGUUCAUUACAUUUUUUUUAUGGAAACAAAGUGUUACAUUUUCUGCAGCGAAGAAUCUAUUACCUUUUUCAGUGGUAUGAUUCGAGGCAACAUAAUGUAUAUUAAAUGUGCCCACUAGUGCACAAAGUACAUGGGUUGAAGAAUUAACUGAUUAGAAUCAUUUGUUGAAAGGAUCUCACCUUUGUUGUUUAUCAUAUUUUUGUAGUGUGGCUAACUGGCUGUUAUUGUACCACCAAAGUCCGCUGUCUGCUUGGCCUAACUUUGAGCUUUGUCCUGAUGAGCUUAAGCUGAAGUCAGAUCGCAUGUUUUCUGUUAGGGGUUUAGCGGGUUACAUGGAUAACCUGCAGCUAUCCAGAUUCUUCUCUUUCCAGUGUAUGGGACAUUGUUCGUUAUGUUAAGACUUCUUGACUUUAUGGCUCUUUUAGGCCUGAGCUAUGUGGAGUGUAAUAUAGAAAUAACUUGAACUGGAUAAAUGUUCCAACUAGCAAUCAUAGUGUUUGUGUUCUCUUUUGGUGCAAGUGAACUCUAUUAUUUGCAAUAGUUAUGACUGAGACAACCAUUGACAUUGCUGGUGAAACUUAGCUGAGCUAAGGUGUUACGCUUUAGUUGGGCAUUAGAUAUCACUCUGAAGCUGAUUUGAGAUGCUGUAACUUUUAUUUUCUUUUUCGUGAUUGCCUUUAGCCUGUGCAUUUCUAGACCAGAAACAUGUUUACCCUUCGCUAAUUUGCUUAGUUUUUUCCCAGCAGAAUGGUAUUGGUUGUUUCAUAUCAAAUCAACCUGGAUUCCAAAUCAAGAAUGAUCUAUACUUUGUUUCAUCUUUCUAGUUCGUAUACUCAAUCGCUGCGCAAAUUGGCCUUAAUAAUCUAUAAUAUGGUUUGUAUGGAAACAUUGGCCGCACCAAAUUUACUCAAGUCUAAUGUAUUCUUGUGAUAGUUUACUGCGCCAUCAUUUUCUUUCUUAUAUCUUAGGAGAAAGGAGACGGAGCUCGAACCACUUCUAUAUCAUAUUGAAGCACUCGUUCCUUGUCUUUGAUGGAUACAUUUUCAAUGUUGUAGAAUACUAGCACGAUGCCCGUGUGUUGCCACAGAACCAUUGGCUUAGGUGGUGAAAUAACUUUAGUGUCCUUUACGACAAUUACGUGAUUUAUGAUUAGAAAAGAUAGCAAAAAUACAGUGAGAGACAUGCAGCAUCAGAGAAUUUUAAAUGACCAUGGUAGCUUGGGAAGAGAACUAAAACCAAGAUUGAUUUUGAGUUGAAGUCACAUUUUUGUCUUUGUUAUCUGUGCCUUUUACAAAAAAAGUUGGUCUCACAUGAAAGUAGUGUAUGUGUCUAUUUAUGAUAGAUUUCACAUGUGCGUAAAGUACAUUUGUUUAUAUGUCUCUUCAAAGGCUGCUAGUUCCACAUGUGGGGAUGCGUGUAUUUGUUUAUUUGGAAAUGAUGUUGAACCCAUAUGUGAACUCACCACCAACUCCAAUCUUCAUAAAGUAGGAAAGAAAUAGGUAGAACUCUAUUCAGAAAGUUUAUUGUGGGAUUUAGGGGUGGAUGUGAACGUAAGAGAAUCCGUGCAAGUUUGACUUAUCAUAAUUAAUAACUUCUUACUGCAUUUUUACUGCGGUCUGACGUAUGACUCGUACUUCACCAGGUGUUCUGCUUCCAAGUGAGGUACUGUGAUCAAUUAUAUGAAUGUGCCAAUAUUGCCAGCCUUUUUUUUUUGCAGCAGCAGAUUUGCAGCUUUUUUGGUAUGUUUGGUGGCAAUUAUCAGGGUCACUAACUCCUAUGGUGCUAGGAUGGGGCCAAAGUACUAAAGGAUAUAUUGCUAAGCUGCUAGUUUGCGGAAGUUUUUGAAAUAUCGAGUAAGUAGGUGGCUGCUGAUUUCCCUGUGGUCAUCCAUAUCUGGCUCUAUGCUGCAUCUCCUUAGCUAUAUUCUAGUUGGCUAGAGGUUUUCCUGUAUCCUUUUUAGAUGCAUCAUAAAAAGAGUUCCAUGUUAUUGCUUUCUAUGCUAUCAUGGAGGAAACUUGCUGGGUUGUUUGUAGUUCUUAUUUGUAACUGUUUGCUGAAACCCUGAAACUGAUUAUUUAUUUUCCAACUUUCUAUACUCUGAAUUUUUCAUGCAUGUGCCUCCAAUGUUGCCAUGAAUAACUUUCGAAGGAACCGUUCUAGGAAGUAGAAAGGGGGGCUGUUUCUGGGAAGCAUCUCUCUCAUAAGUUUGUUCUUCAACUUGGGCACUUGAGCACAAACUGUGUGUGUCUGGACUUAAUAAUGCUGAGUUAUGUGAUAUAUACUGCAAGAUGAGCACCUAAGACUGCAAUGGUUGCCAUAUUAAAAAUCACCACCAUCUCAACUGUUCUUCUGGAUUCUGUUCGAUGUGAUAUGCUAAUUCUUGGUGAUUGUGCCUGCUAUUGAUGUAGUGUAAACCAAUUACCCAAGUGGCUGAGAACCAGAUGAGGAUAUGGUGAUAUGCUGGCUGUCAUCGCUGACGGAGACAGGUGGUGCUUCUGUCUCUGUGGACUUUAAAUUUUGGCCUUUUCCUUUUAAAUGUUCGUCCAUCAUUAUCCAGAAUAAAUUCCUGCAUUACAGCAUUUGGAGUCAGAAUAAGGUUCUGAAGACACCUGAUUGCUUUCAAUUCCAUACCACAGUGAAUUAAAUGUUCUGAAUAUGGUUGCAAGCGAAGACCCUUGUGCUGUUGCUAUUUACUGUAUUAGAGUAGAUCUUCAUUCCAUGUGCAAUAACUUCCGCUAUUAUGCAAACUAGUAGAACCACAAUAUAUUUCUGGAUAAGUACUUGUACGAAAAUUGUACUUUCCACAGUAGUGCAAUCUUUUAUUUGUUUUCUCUUCCUCUGUUGAUUGAUUAGGCUGAGAUAGGUUUCUGAAAUGUUUUAGAGAGAUUGAAGAGUUACAUAGUAAAUACACAGCAACCUGAAGUGAUGGUGCUCACCCAACAAUUUAUCAAUUACAGUUUC